AUUAGAGGGGGAUAGCAAUGGCUGAAGGCCACGUGUGUGGCGAACAUACCACGCAUGAAUGGGGAGGUCUGAGGGAGUACUCCCCCAGAAAAUUUUUGAAAUUUGAAUCCCGGAAAUGUCAUUUCCUGCAUUCUGAGCAUCCAAAUUUGUUCCAAAAUUUAUACUAACUAUACUUGUAUUUGAAAUAAAUAAAGGAAAAAACGCACAAAAAGUUAAAAAAUAACCAUCAUUUAUCAUUAUUUAUUAGAGGAGGAUAGCAAUGGUCAGCUGUGUGGGGGUAUACUCCCCCAGAAAAUUUUUGAAAUUUGAAGCACGGAAAUGCCAUUUCCUGCAUUCUGAGCAUCCAAAUUUGCUCUAAAAUUAAUGCUAACUAUACUUGUAUUUGAAAUAAAAGAUGGAAAAAAUGCACAAAAAGUAAAAAAAGAAUAUUAACUGUAAUUUAUCAUUACUUAUUAGAGGGAUAAUCCCCAGAAAAUUUUUGAAAUUUGAAACACGGAAAUGCUAUUUCCUGCAUUCUGAGCAUCC